ACUCCAGGGAUCAGCCAACCAGGACACCAGGUCGGUUGGACCUACAGAUCCAUGAGAAGGAAGAGAAGGUUCCUUUUUAGAAGAAGCUGGCUGGGAGUGCAGUGAGGAACACAUGUGGCCAUGAGGUCUGGCUGCAGGAAAAUGUUUUGGCACCUCCUUGAAAGACAGUAGGGCAAGAAACCUGAAUUCUCAUCCAGGAUUGAGCUAAUGGAAGUAAAUUCAACAAUAGCAUUAAUCAAACAGAGGCCGCAGUGUGCUGUGAAGAAUGGGAAAAGAGCGGCGAGAGAGAUCAAUUUUUGAACUUGAGAUGACAACAUACAGUAAAUGUUCAUAUUCUUCCCUGAGCUUCUUUGAUUAGAAGAAAAUAGUUUGAAAUGUAGAAGAACAUUACAAACUCAAAUUUGCCAGUUUGAAAGGAUCACAGUUAAGUAGGUUUCUGACUUCAGCAAGCAGCAAGCAGCGAGCAAGCCUACAUUUAAGUCACAUUUGAACUUUUGAGUACUGAGGAAGAUAAGAAUGGAGCGAAACAUAUGACAGCUGUUAUCAGAAAGCAAGCCAUGUAUGUGUACACUUGACUGGGGCAAUACUUUUCCACACAACACUGGAAACACACACACCUCUGCUGCCAAAACGCCAUUAGGAAUCUCUUCACAAGAGCUGCUAUGAGAAGCGGAUUCUCUGUGGAAGCCAUACUAGGUGACUAGCCCCAGUCUAAUAGCAACGACCUCAAGAGAGGUGUAUAUUAAUAGCCUACCACAGGAGGUAAUGUUACUGCAUGAUGCCAAAUUUUGUAAUUAUCUGGAAAACAGCAAAGUUUGACUCUCAAAAGCCAUUGUAGCCUAGCAUAUGGAAUGUUAUAUAUGAACUUGGCAGAUCUGUGUUACUUAACUAAGAUCCUUUAGCUCACUGGCUUAGCUAGCGUCAAAGAGAUCUGUGUUCACCCUCCUGGCGGUGUGUGGUCCUCCUCUGGUGGCAUGAAGCCCUUGUCGUCUCAUGCACUGGUGCAUGCAGAACGUACCACCCUUGGCACUCACCUGUGGUGGCACCUUGCUGCUAUUCCUGUUGCCAGCACUUGCUCCCUCAUUUCAGCUCUUGGUGAUGGUACGCUCGCAGGCAGGGGUAGACAGGAGCCAGGUGGAUGGGCGAGUGGUGGGUGUGCACAAAUGUCAGGAGUGGAACCAACAGCAGGAAUGGUCAGUGGCUUGCCAGAGGGGGAAGGGAGGAGAGAGCCUGAGGGGCAGAAUGGCCAAUAUUCCAAAAAUACCGUAGCCCCUGCCCCUGCUUUAGCUAGGGAUUCUGUUUGGCAUGUUGCAAUUUCUCAGCCUUACUCCCUCACCUGUAAAAUUGGAGAGAAAUAAUAAUGUAUUUCACAUGUUAUAUUGUGAGAAUGCAGGUGAAAGUGUUUAGUGCCAUAAAAGUGCUGUGGAAAUGAAGAAUAACAGGCUUGAAAUUUGAACUUGGAAUACCGAAAUGUGGAAAAUGUCUAAUCCAUAAUUGUCUCAUACCAAGCUCCUAUACUGUAGUGUUCCUGCUUUGAUUCAAAAUCACAUAUUGUCAUUUUUGAAUAAGCACAUGUUAUGUGAACCCAGGAACCAUUUUUUGGCUUAUAACAUGGCUACUUUUAAUCUGCUUUCAGAGAAACUUAAGAUAUUUCAUUUGCUAUUUUGAAACCAAUUCUCCACAUUAAAAAAAAAAUGUGCAUCAUUUAUGAAUGGAAAAUAUGCAUCAACAACCUUUUAUGGCAAAAUAUACCUGGCCCAGUAAG